UAGCUCAGUUGGUAGAGCAUGGUGUUUGCAAUGGAUGGUGUUUGCAACGCCAGGGUUGUGGGUUCAAUUCCCAC
rnacentral:tRNA from 1 species